AGAGUUUGAUCCUGGCUCAGGACGAACGCUGGCGGCGUGCCUAACACAUGCAAGUCGAACGAGAAUCUUUGGAAUGAUUCUUUCGGGAUGAAUUCCAAAGAGGAAAGUGGCGGACGGGCGAGUAACGCGUGAGUAACCUGCCCAUAAGAGGGGGAUAAUCCAUGGAAACGUGGACUAAUACCGCAUAUUGUAAUUAAGUUGCAUGACUUGAUUAUGAAAGAUUUAUCGCUUAUGGAUGGACUCGCGUCAGAUUAGAUAGUUGGUGAGGUAACGGCUCACCAAGUCGACGAUCGGUAGCCGGACUGAGAGGUUGAACGGCCACAUUGGGACUGAGACACGGCCCAGACUCCUACGGGAGGCAGCAGUGGGGAAUAUUGCGCAAUGGGGGCAACCCUGACGCAGCAACGCCGCGUGCAGGAAGAAGGUCUUCGGAUUGUAAACUGUUGUCGCAAGGGAAGAAGACAGUGACGGUACCUUGUGAGAAAGUCACGGCUAACUACGUGCCAGCAGCCGCGGUAAUACGUAGGUGACAAGCGUUGUCCGGAUUUACUGGGUGUAAAGGGCGCGUAGGCGGACUGUCAAGUCAGUCGUGAAAUACCGGGGCUUAACCCCGGGGCUGCGAUUGAAACUGACAGCCUUGAGUAUCGGAGAGGAAAGCGGAAUUCCUAGUGUAGCGGUGAAAUGCGUAGAUAUUAGGAGGAACACCAGUGGCGAAGGCGGCUUUCUGGACGACAACUGACGCUGAGGCGCGAAAGUGUGGGGAGCAAACAGGAUUAGAUACCCUGGUAGUCCACACCGUAAACG
rnacentral:rRNA from 1 species